UACGUAGGGGGCAAGCGUUGUCCGGACUUAUUGGGCGUAAAGCGCGUGUAGGCGGCCAGGUAGGUCUGGUGUGAAAACUCGAGGCUCAACCUCGAGAGGUCAUCGGAAACCAUCUGGCUAGAGUCCGGAAGAGGAGAGUGGAAUUCCCGGUGUAGCGGUGAAAUGCGCAGAUAUCAGGAAGAACACCAAUGGCGAAAGCAGCUCUCUGGGACGGUACUGACGCUGAGACGCGAAAGCGUGGGGAGCGAACAGG
rnacentral:rRNA from 1 species